CCCUAUGGGGUGCAGCAGGAAUAAAAUUGCGUGGCGCGUUUAACGCCGAAGUCAGGGAGUGCUUGCAGGCAUCCGGAAGAGUAUAUCAGCCGGUUGACGUUGAAUUGUUCACUGGAGUAGCGUUGUUGACUGGCGCUAAUAUGUCGGGUAAGAGUGUACUUCUGAAACUUGUUGCAUCAGUGCAGUUGUUGUUUCAAGCUGGUUUUUUUGUACCGGCGCAGUGUGCGGAGUUGCAACCGGUAACAGAAGUAUUUCUAUUAUGCGGCGACAUGCAAUCGGCAAAUUCCGGAUUGAGUUCCUAUGCGGCGGAAAUGCUUUAUGCCGAUGGUGCCGUGAAAUUUUCCCGGCAAAACCGGGCAUUGAUAUUGUUUGAUGAAUUGGCGGGAGGGC
rnacentral:rRNA from 1 species